rnacentral:tRNA from 1 species
GGCCCCGUAGCUCAAUUGGAUAGAGCGCCAGCCUCCGGAGCUGGAGGUUACUGGUUCAAAUCCAGUCGGGGUCACCA